rnacentral:rRNA from 1 species
AACGCUAGCUACAGGCUUAACACAUGCAAGUCGAGGGGAAACGACAUCGAAAGCUUGCUUUUGGUGGGCGUCGACCGGCGCACGGGUGAGUAACGCGUAUCCAACCUGCCCACCACUUGGGGAUAACCUUGCGAAAGUAAGACUAAUACCCAAUGAUAUCCCACGAAGGCAUCCGAAUGGGAUUAAAGAUUUAUCGGUGAUGGAUGGGGAUGCGUCUGAUUAGCUUGUUGGCGGGGUAACGGCCCACCAAGGCAACGAUCAGUAGGGGUUCUGAGAGGAAGGUCCCCCACAUUGGAACUGAGACACGGUCCAAACUCCUACGGGAGGCAGCAGUGAGGAAUAUUGGUCAAUGGGCGAGAGCCUGAACCAGCCAAGUAGCGUGCAGGACGACGGCCCUAUGGGUUGUAAACUGCUUUUAUAAGGGAAUAAAGUGGGUCUCGUGAGACUUUUUGCAUGUACCUUAUGAAUAAGGACCGGCUAAUUCCGUGCCAGCAGCCGCGGUAAUACGGAAGGUCCGGGCGUUAUCCGGAUUUAUUGGGUUUAAAGGGAGCGUAGGCCGGAGAUUAAGCGUGUUGUGAAAUGUAGUGGCUCAACCUCUGCACUGCAGCGCGAACUGGUCUUCUUGAGUACGCACAACGUGGGCGGAAUUCGUGGUGUAGCGGUGAAAUGCUUAGAUAUCACGAAGAACUCCGAUUG